GCUGGCGUAGCUCAACUGGUAGAGCAGCUGAUUUGUAAUCAGCAGGUUAGGGGUUCAAGUCCCUUCGCCAGCUCCA
rnacentral:tRNA from 1 species